rnacentral:lncRNA from 1 species
UAUAACUCAAGUAUGAACCUCAAGGAAUGUGAGAUGAUGUGCAUGAACAGCUUCUGCUCCUGCACUGCUUUUGCGAAUUUGGAUGUCCGGGAUGGAGGAAGGGGGUGCUUGCUGUGGUUCAGCGACCUGAUUGAUAUAAGAUAUUCCACUGGAAAUGGGCAAGAUGUUUACAUAAGAAUGGCUGCGUCAGAACUAGGUACGGAAUUAUCUUGCUGUUUAAAACAAAGUUUGAAAGGAAAAGAAAAAAAAAACAAAGUAAAAUGAAGAAAGAAAUCUUCCAACAGUACAUGUGCCUAAAGGCAGUGUAGAGUACAAAAUAAAGCCAGAAAACUUUUGACACAAUAAGAAAAAUAUUUCUUUGGAAUUGUCUCAGAAACAAUCCAGUACCUAAGUUCUUCUUUAUUGAUCUCUGACUCCUCGAGUUUCUGCUUUCAAAUACUUCAUUCCUAGAUCAAGGAAGCAAUACAGACACCAAUGCUAAAACCUCUAAAUCCAAUGUGAAAAAAGUGAGAAUCAUAGUAACCAGUACUGUGUUGUCUACUGUACUGCUGAUCCUGGGGCUAACAUUGCUAUUAUAUGUGUGGAAGAAGCAGCACCAAAAAUAUGGUAAGCUAUUUAAUUUUUUACUAUUCUGCCCCUCCAUCUUCUAUGUAGGCUCAGUUCUAUAGGGAAUUUUUGCUGUUGCCCCUUUAUUUUAUAAGCUAGGUAGUUCAGUUUCAGUUUCAGUUCCAGGUUACAUUAUUUACUUCACUGAAUACUUCACAGGAAAACCGAGGUCCAGCCAAAAGGAAGAUAUGGAAUUACCAUUAUUUGACUUGGCUGCUGUUGUUCGUGCAACCAAUAGCUUUUCAAACGACAGUAAACUUGGAGAAGGUGGUUUUGGAUCAGUCUUCAAGGUAAAGUCAUAUGUAGUCCUCUCUACAGUGAGCUGGACAGUUUCCACACGUUUCGGCCAGGAUCAUGGAUACAAGUAGUAUAUUGAACGUUUGCAAACUACAGAGUAUGAAUUUUGGUCAUGAUAUGUGGCUGAUGGAUUUCAGGGUACACUGAAAGAUGGACAAGAAAUAGCUGCGAAAAGGCUCUCAAAACAUUCUACACAAGGACUCAAUGAGUUGAAGAAUGAGGUUACACAUAUUGCCAAACUUCAGCACAGGAAUCUAGUGAAGCUUUUAGGAUGCUGCAUUCAAGAAGAUGAAAUGAUGCUGAUCUACGAGUUCAUGCCUAACAAAAGCUUAGACUUCUUUAUUUUUGGUUUGACCACUCAAAAACCUUCUUCUUUAGUUCACUUCUUUGUUGGUUUGCAAGGUGUAGGGUGGGACUUUAACUAUCUCUUUCUUGCAACAUGCAUUUUUAUGCCCCUCUGCGUGCAGUGUGCACAUAAGGAAUUUGUUAGCUUGAUGUACUUUGUUGGAAUAUUCCCUAACAAUUUAAGCUUUUAGAGUAAAACAGUUGUAUGACUGUUGACACAUCCUUUUUGCUUCUUUUUUGAGAGUUUUUUCCUUUUCAAUUAGGAUUUAGCUCAGAGAAUAAAAACAUGUCUUGUUGUGUGUUUGAGUAUGAUCAAAACUUGAUUAUGUUAGCAUGAUGGACAUUUGAACAUUGGUGAACUACGCUAUUUUGCAGAUCAAAGAAAAAGCAUGAUGCUAGAUUGGCCCAAGCGCUUUGACAUUAUUAAUGGAAUUGCUCGGGGGCUCCUCUAUCUUCAUCAGGAUUCUAGACUGAGAGUAAUUCAUAGAGAUCUGAAAGCCAGUAACGUUUUAUUAGACAGUGGAUUUAACCCAAAAAUCUCAGACUUUGGCCUGGCAAGGAGUUUUGCAGAAAAUGAAACAAAUGCAAAAACCAAGAAAGUGGUUGGAACAUAGUAAGUAUAUAUCACAAAAGAACUAAUACGUACAUAUGGUAUACUUAUUUUGCUUAUUAAAUUAGUUCUUGAUUGACUGGUUUGUAGUGGUUAUAUGUCCCCAGAAUAUGCAAUUGAUGGGUUCUACUCGACAAAAUCUGACGUCUAUAGCUUUGGUGUGUUGGUGCUAGAGAUAGUGAGUGGGAAGAGAAACAGAGGAUUCACUCAUCCAGGCCACAGCCUCAACCUUCUUGGACAUGUUAGUGUCAACUGUCAUGCCCAAAAAAAUUUACUCACUGCUUGUUUCUGUUUCUUCUUUUAAUCAAUCACAACUGUUUUGAACUUUUGACUAAUUCUUUUAGGCAUGGAUGCUAUGCACAGAAGGCAGGUCCAUUGAAGUGCUUGAUACAUCAGUAGGGGACUCCAGUGAUCCACAUGAAGUUUUGAGAUCAAUUCAUGUAGGUCUUUUAUGUGUGCAGCGUAACCCGGCAGAUAGACCGAGCAUGCCAGCUGCAGUUGUAAUGUUGAGUGGUGAGGGGUCAUUGCCUCAACCUCAAAAACCUGGUUUUUAUAGUGAAAGGGAUCUCAAUGAACUCGAAGUCGAUCCUUCAUCUAAAGCAUUUUCAGCUAAUGAAAUCACUUUUACACUAAUGGAGGCUCGAUAAACGAUAUGUCAUGUUGGUUUGUUAAUCUGGUGCUUUUGAAGUCAGUUUGAAAAGUUAAAUAUACUUAAGAGAUUCCCAACCCAUGCGUUAGCAAAUGCACCCUCUAAUUUUUUAAUUUUUUUUUUCUUUGGAGUUGGAGUUCACACUACAGAAACACAGAUGCUGAUACAAGAACUAAUAUAAAAGCUUAAAUGAAUUAGAUUUUUCACUUGAGGUGGUGUUAUAAUUUUAUUUAUUUAUUUUUUCUGUUCUUUGGUGGGUUGGUUUUGUGUUCCUAUGCAAGAGGAGGAGGAGACAAACCAUUCAUUUUUUUUUCUCUCAGCAAACAAGAGGGCAUGAGCAAAUGUCAAAAUCUAUAACAGAAAUGCAAUAUCCAAAGAAUGAAAAGCAGUCCAACCAAGAAGAACCAUCAAUGGAUGAAUACUGAAUGCAUAAAGAUUUAUCAAGUCCCAAGAAGAACCAAACCAGAAAUAAAAAGUCAGAAUUUGAGAUUGGGGCCUAAAAACCGAACCUUGUUGUUGGCAAGACCAUAGAAACUCCAUGAUAGGACAGCUCCACCAUGUCGUCAAUGCGAAGAGAGAAGAGAAUAAGGCGGAGUUCGGGAGGGAGGGAUUGUCCUCGUUGGCGUUGGUAUGGUGAGGUGAACUUGUCGUAUAUUUAACGAGUAUAGCCGCUCGGCUAUACUCCUUAGUGAUC